GUGAGGGGACGGCAGGGAGAGCUCGGGGCAGCGGGGCCGCAAACACCGCCCUGGCGCCGCUCCUGGGAACCGGCAGGCCGACGUUUCUGCCUAAAUCCAGCCGUCCUGGGGUGGUGCCAUGGCUGGAGUCAUGGGACAGGGUCCUCAUGCAGCCCCAGCAUCGCUCCGAGCUCUUUCCUCUGAGCGUGAUAUUUGAGAUUUCCCAUGAGCUGCAAGCCCCAGCAUAGGGAGUAGAAGGUGAUGAGCAUCUGGUGUGGUUCUCCCACAUCCCAAAGGCAAUGUCCAUGGGACAAAGCUCAGAGAACCUGGCUGGCUGACAAAGCUGCUUCUCACACUCCACAACUCCCUGCUUCAUAUGGAGGAUAUUGACCCAUGGGAUGAACAGAGAUCAGGUCACUCCCUACGGCUGUUCCCUGAGCCAGGGCACCCUUGACUGAGGUGUAAUUGGCACAACCACAAAGACCAGCCCAAAGGGACCACGUUUUCCACUGGAGUUACUGCAACCCCUGACAAAUCUGCUUCAUUAUCACCAAUGUCAAUUAGAACCAAAACCAAGGGUUCCUCUGAAGAGAUGUGAACAACCUGAACAGGGACACAUGGUCCUUCAACUCAGAGCUGACUAUUUCACUGGCCAAACCCACCUUAGAAGGACAGCAUAAGGAACAGACUCAUCCUAUUCAUCCCAAAACCUUCCAAGGAGGAUUGAGAAACACUGCACCAGCACGACAGGAUAACAACACUGACUCCAGGUUUAGCUUUUCUCAGCCCCAUCUCCCAGCCCUGGAAGGAGCUUCCUUCCCACCAUAAUUCUGCAUACAUUGAACCAGUCUGAGCCCUCCCAUCUGUUCCAAUGAGAGGGUUUGAAGAUGGUUAUUCCAAAUAAGUGUAAAGGUUUCAGAACAGGAACCAGAGCCAUCUCUCCUACUCAGCCAUUGAAGGCUGCCUUGAUUACUUUGAUGUAACAACACUUGAAAGCUCCUAUUCUUUGAAACUAAUUUAAACACAUUGAAUUGUUGAAAGAUUAAAAACCGCAGUCAGCUAAUUACACUCACUCUCAUCUCUUAUUCAGCAAAUGAAUCACUUUUCAUUACCACUUAGCUGAAGUACAUGAAUUUCUGCCUAAUUAGAAAUGUUGUAGAUGGAGCAUUAGCAAGGCUGGAGCGGGUCAGGAUAUCUUGCCUGCUUCAUUUUUAAUUCCUAACAGUAGAGCCAGAUAGGAGAGGCUUCAGAUAAGAAGUCAUUAAACAAU